rnacentral:lncRNA from 1 species
GCUGAAGAAACGACAUAUAUAUAUAUCACAAUAGAUGUAAAAGAAUGCUGGGACAAAUUGGAUUAUUAAGUUACAAGUAUUACCGACAUGUGGCUUCAUAAAUUUAAGAAUGAAUGUGCACUUGGACACCAAUAAAUGAGUCGAGACAAAAGAAAUGCAAUAAUUUGGUAUCAUGAAACCCUCAUAGUACUAUUUCAUCACUUGUGGAAUUGGAAUCAUCAUCCAUUUUCUCCUACAUUUGGAGUGGAUAAUAAAACUGAGAACCAUGCCAAAGAUAUCUUUGGAAGUUUAAUAUGCAAGUAUUAUAAUUCCAAAAAAAACUGACUCAAGGCUAAAUCUGCCAACAGUGCAGUUUGUUUCAAUGAGCCUUCACAUUACACUACUGUAGUUUGUUGCUUGGUCCAAGAUCAUAGAUCUUCUUAACAAAACUUGGAAAUCUCCCAUUUCUCAGGGAAAAGCCAAAUGCUUACAAUAUACUACUAGAUUUAACACCAAGGGAGAACAGUACACAUCAAGCAAUAUCUUACUUAGAAUAGUCAUCAAUGAAUGUCCUCCCCUUUGGCAGUCACCACAUUUACAAUCUCAUUUCAAGGAUGAGAAUUAUGAGCAAUG